UACCAAACGACCAAUAAAGCCACAACAUUUUCGUAAAUUAUCAAUUUCAGCCAAUCCUUUUAAUUUUAUCAAUUUCUAUCCCAAACUUUAGAACUGAUUUCAAUUUUAACCAUUCAAGUCAAAAGAAUAUGAAAUUACCAAAAAAAGUCAAAAGUACCAAUUUUGGCUAAUCCUCAUAAUUUUAGAAAUAUAUUGAGAUAAUAUAGAAGCUUUUAUGGGAAUUAUUAUUAGUAGUAUGCUAGAUAGUGAGAGUAAACAAAGA
rnacentral:misc_RNA from 1 species